rnacentral:rRNA from 1 species
AGCGAACGCUGGCGGCAGGCUUAACACAUGCAAGUCGAACGGACCCUUCGGGGUUAGUGGCGGACGGGUGAGUAACACGUGGGAAUGUGCCUUUAGGUUCGGAACAACACAGGGAAACUUGUGCUAAUACCGGAUGUGCCCUUCGGGGAAAGGAUUUAUCGCCUUUAGAGCAGCCCGCGUCUGAUUAGCUUGUUGGUGAGGUAAAGGCUCACCAAGGCGACGAUCAGUAGUUGGUCUGAGAGGAUGGCC